rnacentral:rRNA from 1 species
UGGGGAAUUUUGGACAAUGGGGGCAACCCUGAUCCAGCAAUGCCGCGUGUGCGAAGAAGGCCUUCGGGUUGUAAAGCACUUUUGGCAGGAACGAAACGGUGCCGGAUAAUACCUGGCGCCACUGACGGUACCUGCAGAAUAAGCACCGGCUAACUACGUGCCAGCAGCCGCGGUAAUACGUAGGGUGCAAGCGUUAAUCGGAAUUACUGGGCGUAAAGCGUGCGCAGGCGGUUCGGAAAGAAAGAUGUGAAAUCCCAGGGCUCAACCUUGGAACUGCAUUUUUAACUCCCGAACUAGAGUAUGUCAGAGGGGGGUGGAAUUCCACGUGUAGCAGUGAAAUGCGUAGAUAUGUGGAGGAACACCGAUGGCGAAGGCAGCCCCCUGGGAUAAUACUGACGCUCAUGCACGAAAGCGUGGGGAGCAAACA